GAUGAACGCUGGCGGCGUGCCUAAUACAUGCAAGUCGAGCGAACAGACGAGGAGCUUGCUCCUCUGACGUUAGCGGCGGACGGGUGAGUAACACGUGGAUAACCUACCUAUAAGACUGGGAUAACUUCGGGAAACCGGAGCUAAUACCGGAUAAUAUAUUGAACCGCAUGGUUCAAUAGUGAAAGUCGGUUUUGCUGUCACUUAUAGAUGGAUCCGCGCCGCAUUAGCUAGUUGGUAAGGUAACGGCUUACCAAGGCAACGAUGCGUAGCCGACCUGAGAGGGUGGUCGGCCACACUGGAGCUGAGACACGGUCCAGACUCCUACGGGAGGCAGCAGUAGGGAAUCUUCCGCAAUGGGCGAGAGCCUGACAGAGCAACGCCGCGUGAGUGAUGAAGGUCUUCGGAUCGUAAAACUCUGUUAUUAGGGAAGAACAAAUGUGUAAGUAACUAUGCACGUCUUGACGGUACCUAGUCAGAAAGCCACGGCUAACUACGUG
rnacentral:rRNA from 1 species